AAAACAUAACCUUUAGCCAAACAAAUAUUAAAGGCAACGCCUGCCCAGUGAACAAUUAAACGGCCGCGGUACCCUAACCGUGCAAAGGUAGCAUAAUCAUUUGUCUACUAAUUAUAGACCUGUAUGAAAGGCAAAAUGAGGGCCUAACUGUCUCUUAUGGUAGACCAAUUAAACUGAUCUCUCAGUAAAAAAGCUGAGAUACCCACAUAAGACCAGAAGACCCUGUGAAGCUUAAACUAAACUAUUAAACCCAAUAAUAGAUACUUUCGGUUGGGGCGACCUUGGAAAAAAAAAGAACUUCCAAUAAAACCUACUUCCUAGACCACCACAGGCCUACAAGCCACAAACGACCCAGCAUAGCUGAUAAUAGAACCAAGUUACUCCAGGGAUAACAGCGCAAUCUUCUUCAAGAGCCCAUAUCAAAAAGAAGGUUUACGACCUCGAUGUUGGAUCAGGACAUCCUAAUGGUGCAACCGCUAUUAAGGGUUCGUUUGUUCAACGAUUAAUAGUCCUACGUGAUC
rnacentral:rRNA from 1 species